AUUGAACGCUGGCGGCAUGCCUUACACAUGCAAGUCGAACGGCAGCACGGGAGCAAUCCUGGUGGCGAGUGGCGAACGGGUGAGUAAUACAUCGGAACGUGCCCAAUCGUGGGGGAUAACGCAGCGAAAGCUGUGCUAAUACCGCAUACGAUCUACGGAUGAAAGCAGGGGAUCGCAAGACCUUGCGCGAAUGGAGCGGCCGAUGGCAGAUUAGGUAGUUGGUGAGGUAAAGGCUCACCAAGCCGUCGAUCUGUAGCUGGUCUGAGAGGACGACCAGCCACACUGGGACUGAGACACGGCCCAGACUCCUACGGGAGGCAGCAGUGGGGAAUUUUGGACAAUGGGCGAAAGCCUGAUCCAGCCAUGCCGCGUGCAGGAUGAAGGCCUUCGGGUUGUAAACUGCUUUUGUACGGAACGAAACGGCCUUUUCUAAUAAAGAGGGCUAAUGACGGUGCCGUAGGAAUAAGCACCGGCUAACUACGUGCCAUCAGCCACGGUAAUACGUAGGGUGCAAGCGUGAAUCGGAAUUACUGCGCGUAAAGCGUGCGCAGGCGGUUAUGUAAUACAGUUGUGAAAUCCCCGGCCUCAACCUGGGAACUGCAUCUGUGACUGCAUAGCUCGAGUACUGUAGAGGGGGAUGGCAUUCCGCGUGUAGCAUUGAAAUGCGUAAUAUGCGGAGGGAACACCCAUGGCCAAGGCAAUCCCCCUGGACCUGUAUUGACGCUCAUGCGGGAAAGCGUGGGGAGCGAAACAGG
rnacentral:rRNA from 1 species